GGGGUUGUAGCUCAGCGGCAGAGCGCUUGCCUCACACACAUGAGGUGCUGGGUUCAAUUCUCAGCACCA
rnacentral:tRNA from 1 species